GGAAGAGAACCGUCUCCGAUCUCUUCAAGUACCAUGGCAUCCCCGUUGUUGACGCCGACCUUGUCACUCGAGAUGUGUUAAAAAAAGGUGCUGGUGGCUGGAAAAAGGUUGUUGCAGCAUUUGGAGACGGCAUUUUACAAGCUGAUGGAGAAGUUGAUAGGCCUAGAUUGGGACAAAUUGUGUUCACUGUGCCAGCAAAGCGUCAACUUCUUAAUCGGUACGGAUAUUUGUAUGCGUUUCAAAGUUUAAUGAAACAAAGUUCUUCAUUUCUUUUCAAUGCAGAAUCUUGAAUGGAACUUAUGAUGUGUUUAUGGAGUGACAAUGUUUCAAGAACCCGUUGUUUUUUGGUAGAAAACAAUGAUGAGAAUUUCACCAAUCUCUAUUUGAUAUCAAAUGGGAGGAUAGGGUCAUUAUAUUAAGAAAAAGAAAUUUCUGAUAAAUAAUUGUAGCAAUUGGCCACAGAGGCCAAAUGAGUUGCAGGAUUCAUAUUUGGUUGGAAACUUAUUGUGCGGACGUUUGAAAUAAAUGGAGAGAUAAACUACUUUCAUCAACUGAUUUAUUUUAUAAUAGAAAGUAAAGGAUCUUGACGACUAUUUGGAGUUCAGAUGAACUAUGCGAAGGAGCCAUUAUGGUCUUAUUAAGAGCGCAAAGGGAUGCAACCUAAGUCAAUAUUAGAGAGAGGAAAAAGAAAAAUGAGUGAAAAGGAAACAAGACAUGAGCAACCGCUCGGUACUUCUGUAGCUUGCAAACAAACUGACUAGAGUUCUCUAUCCACGGCCAUAGUCAACAUUCUACUCAAAAGCCUCCACAAUAGUGGAUCUCCAUGCCUAAGGCCUUGAGAGCUGCAAAAGAAAUCAACCAUUGAUAAGAGUACAAAACUGCAAUGAGGAAGUGCAAUUUGCAAUCCACCCACACCACUUUGCACCAAAGCCAUAUCUCGAUGGUAGAUCGGGGCCAAUCUAGUCAAGACAGGACAGCAUUAUGGUUUUAUAAUAGAUCAUGGAUUUGUGUUAUCAAGUGUAAGAAAUAAAUAGAACAAAUUAAUUGAAUUUCCAUAAAUAAUUGGUUCUUAUAAAGAAAUGUUCAUUUAAUGCAGUCAUUCUUGCUUUCAGCCUUGUUCCAAGUUGAAUCAUCUAACAUGAUUAGAUUGCUUUCCUGUGGGAUGACAUUUGGUCCUCCAAAUGAAGAUUAAAGAAAUUUUGUCUUGUUAUUGUCUCCUUAUAUAUCCUCUGGUAUCUUCUACGAGAUUGUGAAGCUAUGGAUGAAAGGGUUUAAGGUUAUUUUCCUUUAUGUGCCUUUAUUGUUCGAAGCUAAGAUGGACAAAUGGACAAAGCCCAUUAUAGUUGUAUAGAUUGAUUCUGAGACACAGCUAAGAUGACUCAUGGCAAGAGGCAGAACAAGUGAGGAGGAUGCUCAAAACAGGAUAAAUGCUCAGAGUCUGACGAAGACGGACAUAGUGAUUGAUAACACAGGAUCACUAGAGGACUUGAUGGACAGUGUAGGAAGGUAUUAUUUGAGGUAUCAAAUCCCUUGUCGUGGACUGAGUUUGGGCUUUCCAGACAGGGAGCCUUGUUAGGCCCUGUUUCUGUUAUUAUUGCUCUUCUUCUAUGCCGAAAGAUCUCCAUUGGUAAUGGUUCGGACUCGUCAUAACUACCCAAACUUUAGUACUUAUAGUGAGUAUUCUUGGGAAGGAAGAUUAUCAAGAGAUCAAUUCUUCCAUUUGUGUCUUACACUUAGCAAUGAAGAGUGACUGAUUUUGUGAAUAUUUGUUUCAAUAAUUCUCUACCAAAUUUUCAAAGCCUUUUGAUAUAUUCUCAUUGUAAAAACUUCCAAGGUAGCUAAAACAGGCAUGUUUUUUCUUUUUUUUUGUGUGUGUGAUGUUAAGAAACGCCAAUUUGAAGUUGGACACAGCAGUGUUCUGU